rnacentral:lncRNA from 1 species
UGUAAAUUUCAUUCCCGGGCUACUAUACAGUCUCAAAGGCAACGUAACCAAUCUGGCGAAUUUCAAUUUCAAAUGUAACGUGCUAUAUUUGACCCUGCAACUUCCCAAAACGCCAUAAAACCUGUACAUAGGGGGUACUGUCUUACACGUGAGACUUUGCUGAAUACAAAUAUGUGUAUUUUAUUGCAGUAAAAGCAAACCGUAUUAUGACAUUGACAGUUAAAAUGUCAUGUAGAACUAAAAAA